UACGGAGGGGGCUAGCGUUGUUCGGAAUUACUGGGCGUAAAGCGCACGUAGGCGGCUUUGUAAGUUAGAGGUGAAAGCCCCAGGGCUUAACCCUGGAAUUGCCUUUAAGACUGCAUCGCUAGAAUUGUGGAGAGGUAAGUGGAAUUCCGAGUGUAGAGGUGAAAUUCGUAGAUAUUCGGAAGAACACCAGUGGCGAAGGCGACUUACUGGACACAUAUUGACGCUGAGGUGGCGAAAAGCGUGGGGAGCAAACAGG
rnacentral:rRNA from 1 species